rnacentral:lncRNA from 11 species
UCGGGGCUGUAGCAAAUUGGUCCCGACUUAUUUUCUCUCCUGAUGUGGGCGAAACGUCAGGAGAGAAUACUUCUGGAACAUGGCCACACAGCCCGAAAGACAUACAACAACCCGAUGUGGUUUAACUUUGAAAUGUAUUUUAAUUUGCUAUGAUGUAUGUGUUAUUUUUAUUCAAUUUUGUCUUAUAUUUAUGUUUUAUGUCUUGAGGUACUGUAUAAGUGCUGUUUUGUAAGCCGCCUUGAGUCCCCCUCAGGUUGGGGUAUAAAUAAGUUUGAAGGAUUGUGGACUGUCCCUCUGCAUAAAAAGUUUGGGGACCCCUGGUCUAGAAUCACCACCUUUGACUCUUGAGUUUUUUUGUUUCACGUGGAACUGGACAUUUGAGUUAAUCAAGGACUCAUCAGCAUACCCACAUCACAAUUUCCUCCUGGACUGCACCCUCCCAAGGGGUGUCCCUGCAAUGGAUUGGCUCUUCAAACUUCAACUACCAGCUGUCUUCUUUCCUGCCACGGGAAUCUCUUCUGACAUGCUGUGAUGUCAAGGGAACACUCAACCAAUCUGGACGUGAAUCCUAGCCUGCUCCUCUUCAGCCAGUCAGGGGAGGGAGCGGGAAGUCUGAAUAGCUGUCAGAACUGUAUAAAGUGUCAUGUAUUUAUUUGUGAGUUCAUGUUUGUACUUUUUAAAAGCAUAUUGACAGUACUUGCAUCCUUUUUGGCCAAAUCAUAAUAAACCUCUGUGGCUUUGCCUUCAACCUGGAGAGCUUGUUUCUCUGUCUUGGCUGAUUUAGUUUAGCAGAUGCUCACCAGGCACGGACCUGAUGAGCAUCUAACUGUGGUCCUAGCUGAAAUCACUACAAGUCCAGCUGGCUACCUCCUCUCCAUCUGCUUUAUUUUACUGUUUUAACAAGCAGUGUACUUGCCAAGGACAGUGUCCAGUAGCUGGCUUUCCUUUGCUGUCAACUGUGACUGGGAACUGUAGGCAAAGUGCACCUUCAUUGUAGGUCAGACUGCAGCCACAGGACAAGAGUCUUUCAGCCUGCACUCUGGCAAGCUGCUGACCUUUCCAGUACUAGCAGUAUAGAGGAGCCAAAUGUGGUCUCAGGAAAUCUGGUGUUCCCAACAGUCCCAGCUCUCUCCUACAUCAGCCACCACUCACCUUUUAUGACUCUUUUCCAGGAGCUGUUUAACAAAAGGAUGUGUCCAGAGCAAGUUUUAAAUGGCAGCUGUUCCAUUUAAUUAUGUGCUUAUUGCACUGCAAAAUAAUUAUGAAUACUGAGGGGGAAGGAAGUAUUUUUAUGUACUGGCAAAAUGACUUUUGAAGAUCUCUGUAGCUGAUGAGAUGUGACCAGAAUAAAAAAUAUAUGGAUGUCGCAUAGUGCAGAAACUGCUUCAGAUGAAAGUAGGAAGCUGGAUGGUGGGGGGGAAGAGAACAAAAUUGAACAAUAUUGCAUGCUUAACAACCCUGUGUAUGCAUUUAUCUUGUGAAAAACACAUUUUUAACUCAAAAGUGUUUUCAAGCUGAUGCUAAUAAUAGCAAAAUAAGAAUUUAAAUACAAAGA